AAAAACAGUAUAUAAUAUGUGUGGGUACAGUAAAUGAGUAAGAGGAAAAUUACAGCUAAACACAAACACUGCAGAAAUGUAAAAACAGCCCUGGUAAGAAAAUUGAAAAAUGGUCUUUGUCACUAAGGGGUUAAACUGGGCAAAAGUUACUUUCCCAUCUCCCUGUGUAAUGUGGAUGGCAAACAGUUUAAAAGAUUCAGG